GGGGACUCAGACAGAUACUUGCCCCCCCCCCCCCCGUGUUCACAGCCACGCCAGUCGCAGUCGCCAAAAGGUGGAAGGAACCCAAGUGCCCCUCAGUGGAUGAGCUCGUAACGCGGUAGCGCGUUAGUCAUAACGAGGACUGAAACGCUGAAACGUGCCACAGUGAGGAUGAACAUUUUGCACAGCGAAAGGAUUGAAAAGUGAUGACGAUUUGGUGGCCCCGUGGUCUUCGCGCCUUCUGGAAGGAUCGUGGCCCCUAGAGAGGGCAACUGAAUAGUUCCCGCUUGGUUGACAACAACCUAAAACUUCCUUCUUCACGAGACUUUUUCUGCUAAUGAAAUGGCCUGCAGCAGCCCCAACACGGACGUGGAACCAGGCCCAGAGAGGGGGCCUGUGAUGGAACUCGGGCCAGCGUGGCAGGACAGCAAGGACAUUAUGACUUUCACGAGCCCCUAAGCUCCAUGCUGGGUGCUCCAAUGCAGGGCUCGAACUCAUCAACUCUGGGAUCAAGACCCGAGCUGACAUCAGAAGAUGUGCCACCCAGGCGCCCCAACUCCCUUACUCUUUUUAAGGCAGUGGAUCGGAGCAAUGCGUUUUCCAGCAUUAAAUUUUGCAUACCUAAGAUUCAA